rnacentral:lncRNA from 1 species
AUGUCGAGUCGAUUAACGACAUUGUAUCAGUUUCUCUUGUCUUUCGGUACCGCUAUUGUUUUAGCAGGUUCACCGUUGCACCACUAGCCUUGUCUUCCCCAACAAUGUAUUGCAAACAUAACCGCUUAAAUUGAAUGAUAUCAAUUAAUGGUCGUUAUGCCGAGUAAUUGUAUCAAUGGAAACUGUAACGUUUCUCAAAUUUUUGCGGAAUGAGUUAUGUUUAGAGAUGGAUGAUGUCGACACCUACUUGUUGUGAUGCUCUUCCUGCUUUUGCACCAUUUUAAGGUCCCAAAAUCUGUUUGGAGUCCGA